rnacentral:misc_RNA from 1 species
CAGGACUGGGCUGACAUGCUUCUCAGGAUGUAUAUGAGAUGGGGAGAGAAACAGCGAUACAAGACGAGGGUAGUUGAAAAAUCCCCAGGGGAGGAAGCUGGAAUUAAGUCGGCUAUGAUUGAGGUUGAAGGCCGUUAUGCUUAUGGGUAUUUGUCAGGGGAGAAAGGAACACAUAGAAUUGUACGACAAUCUCCUUUUAAUGCUAAAGGUCUUCGUCAGGUAACUCUAUUGUGAUCCUCCUGUAAGUUUGUCCUUCUUCUUAGAGGAUUGCAUACUUGAAAAAGGAUCACUCCCUAGAACUAUUCUGCUGAAAUGUUAGAAAAUUUGAGCAAAGAGCACUUUUCUUGUUUAUGUAAUUAUGUUGUGGAUAGCUAAUGGCAACUUCUUAAAGUCAUACAUCUGACAAUUUUUUGCUUGCUAAUUGAUUUUACAUCAAUUAUCCAAACACUUACUGAAAGGGGGGGAUUUUUAUUGGAAAUGGGAUAUUUCUUAUAUAUUGGCACAGCUUGCCCUUCACUUGUUGAGAGAUGUUUCCUUCCCUACUUGUCCUGGUAGGCAUUAUGUAAUAAUUGAUACGAUAUCAUUGUCAUGUAAUGAAGACAUGAGGCCAACGUAAAAGUGUGUUUCUGUCAUAUUCUUUAAGUUAAUAAUGUAAGUAUUUAUCAUAAAAGCAUUAUGGAUGAUUAUGUAAUGCAAUGAGCAAGCACAUACAAAACGAACUUUGGUUUUCACCACACGAGGAAAUGUAUUGUUAGUGGAACGAUAUUAGCAAUCUAAAAAGUCUGCCAACAUCCCCUUCGUCAAUUCUCCAUUGCUUUUCUCACGCUUCUUUUAGGUGAGCUGCUCUCAAGAUACAUGCAUAUGUAAGUAUGUAGUCUAUUCAUGUUUUCAUGAUCUAUAAGUAAAGCUUGAAGCUGAUUCUUUUAACAAACUUCAAACAUCUGAAGAAAUGAUACUCUCCUUGGAAGCAAGUGAUUUAUGAUCGACAAUGUUGGAAUUCAGAAUGAAAUUUAAACAGUGGCAAAAGGCCAAUAAUAAUUGAAUAUUAUGCCAUAUGCUGAGGUUGGCCUACAAUUCAUCCCCCACAUACCCCAAAGGACAAUGUUUUACCACGAUAUUCUAACAUUAAGUUAUAUGUACAGACAAGCUUUUCUGGUGUUGAAGUAAUGCCUCUUCUUCCUGAAGAGUCUAUGGACGUUCAACUACCUGAGGAAGACCUGGAAAUCAGUUUUUCAAGGGCAGGUGGGAAAGGAGGCCAGAAUGUAAAUAAGGUUGAAACUGCUGUCAGGAUUACUCACAUCCCCACCGGUGUCACUGUUCGCUGCACAGGUAUGCAUGUAUGCUUGACUGCAUAAGUUCUUCAUUAUGGGAAUUCCUUUUAGAAGUUUUAGUCUUGGAGGGAAAUAGUGAAGUAUAUUACCAAAAGCAUUUGAAGCUUCAAUGGUGCACACAUUUAGUUUAAGAGGGGAAGAGGAGAGAAUUGGUAGAGAGGGGAAAAGAGGGUAGAGCGUCUCUUUCAUAAUUGUGGGGCCUACUGCCAAGGGCAGUAGAGAUUUGAGUGAAUAUCACCAUGGUGGUUCUGCAAUCUAAGUUUGGAGUUUUUUCUUCAAUGUUUCAGCUUCCAUCUGAACUUUAUCUCUAUCCGGCCUUUUUGGUCUACUUACCUGAACAGUGUCAAUUUUAGAACAGCUUUGUCAGGCUUUCCUCCUUUUUUUUUUACUGCAUUGCAGAAGAGAGAUCCCAGCUAGCAAACAAGAUCAAGGCUCUUAGCCGGUUAAAAGCAAAGCUAUUGGUCAUAGCCGAGGAGCAAAGGGCAUCUGAAAUCAAGCAAAUAAGGGGAGAUGCAGUGAAAGCUGAGUGGGGCCAACAGAUAAGAAACUAUGUAUUCCAUCCGUACAAACUUGUCAAGGACGUGAGGACAGGAUUUGAGACAUCAGAUAUUACCUCUGUGAUGGAUGGCGAAUUGGAGCCCUUCAUCAAAGCUUACCUCAAGUACAAAUACAACAUGACAUUGUCUGCUUCUGGGAUUAAUUGACAGACUUAUUCAUUUUAUUUACUCCGUGCUUAUAUUAUAUAUACAUAUGUGUGUAAAACGAAGCAGUUUAUCAUCAUAUUAUAGGAGUCCGAGAUGGCAAAACUAUAUUCUUUAGGAUUGUGUGCUUUUCAGAGUACAUAUUGGCUGCAGAUGAAGCAUCCGUUACUAGUACGAAAAUUAGGACAUUUCAAAAAAAAAAAAAUCUAUUUCCGUUCCUCAAAUAUUUAUCAUUGAAUGUUCAUCAUCCUCAGAUGAAGCCUGGGAUGGCAGCAACACAUCAAAUAGGGAGACAUGGCUCUAGGGGACUGGGGAAAAGAAGAGGCCAAAUUAUAUGCUAGUCCUCUUGAGGGAGAGGGGGGCAGAACAUUAAAGACCCUGUUAUCUUCUGUUUAAAAUUAUUUUAUGGGGGAAAACAAUGACUUAUGUGUCAUUUUUGUAGGCUGUAUUAUGUGAUAAUAAUAUUUUUUUCAUUUAAUUUAGUUAAAAUUCAAACUCAAUUUUUUUUUUCAAAAAA